rnacentral:lncRNA from 1 species
AUACAUCAUACUUCACAAUGUUUUCUCUUGGAAAACUUGUUCCCUGUCCUGAAGGCUCAGGUCCAGCCAUUUUGAGAGCUGGAAUCCAGGAAGAUUAUUAAGAUUAUUUGGAGGACUGAGAAGGAAGCUGUUUAGACCAUGCCAUAUUUCUUAGGCCCCAAGAAUCUUACAGAUGGACAGAUCUUCUCUUCAAAUCCUGCCGUCGCAGCCCAGAGAAAGAGACAGCCACUGGAGCAGCACAUCCUCCUGAGGGAAAAUUCAGAAGACAAAUACUCCCUUCAACAAACAAUUCAGUUGACUCGUAAGUGA